GAUCCUGGCUCAGAACGAACGCUGGCGGCGUGCCUAACACAUGCAAGUCGUACGCAGUAGCAAUACUGAGUGGCGCACGGGUGAGUAACACGUGGGUAAUCUACCUUACUGUUUGGGAUAACCGGCCGAAAGGCUGGCUAAUACCGGAUAAGACCACGGAUCCUUCGGGUUCUGUGGGAAAAGCUGGGGAUCUUCGGACCUAGCGCAGAAGAUGAGCUCGCGUCCCAUUAGCUAGUUGGCGGUGUAAUAGACCACCAAGGCGACGAUGGGUAGCUGGUCUGAGAGGAUGAUCAGCCACACUGGCACUGAAACACGGGCCAGACUCCUACGGGAGGCAGCAGUGGGGAAUAUUGCGCAAUGGGCGAAAGCCUGACGCAGCAACGCCGCGUGAGUGAUGAAGGUCUUCGGAUCGUAAAGCUCUGUCAGCAGGGAAGAAACCUAUGUGAUCUAAUAAAUCAUGUAAUUGACGGUACCUGCGAAGGAAGCACCGGCUAACUCUGUGCCAGCAGCCGCGGUAA
rnacentral:rRNA from 1 species